rnacentral:sRNA from 1 species
CACAAAUAGAAUCCUAGAUAAAAAUAGUAUUUUUCUACAUGUGGAAAAUGUAUAAAUAUAGUAGCAGGUUUCAAUUUACUACACAAGUUCCUCGUUACAACACUUAUUAUAG